GAUGAAGAAGGUAGCGAAAUGCGAUAAGUAAUGUGAAUUGCAGAAUUCAGUGAAUCAUCGAAUCUUUGAACGCACCUUGCGCUCUUUGGUAUUCCGAAGAGCAUGCCUGUUUGAGUGUCAUGAAAAUAUCAACCUUGACUUGGGUUUUGUGCUCUAGUCUCGGCUUGGAAUUGGGUGCUUGCCGCUUUUACGAGCGGCUCACCUUAAAUGUAUUAGCUGGAUCUGUCUUUGAGACUUGGUUUGGCUUGGCGUAAUAAGUAUUUCGCUAAGGACAUUCUUCGGAGUGGCCUCGUUUCUAGGACGCUUGUCCGCUUUCCAAUACAAGUUCCACCUCGUGGACAUGACUUUUUAUUAUCUGGCCUCAAAUCAGGUAGGACUACCCGCUGAACUUAAGCAUAUCAAUAAGCGGAGGA
rnacentral:misc_RNA from 1 species